GAUGAACGCUGGCGGCGUGCCUAAUACAUGCAAGUAGAACGCUGAAGGAAGGAGCUUGCUCUUUCCGGAUGAGUUGCGAACGGGUGAGUAACGCGUAGGUAACCUGCCUGGUAGCGGGGGAUAACUAUUGGAAACGAUAGCUAAUACCGCAUAACAGUAGAUGUUGCAUGACAACUAUUUGAAAGGGGCAAUUGCUCCACUACCAGAUGGACCUGCGCUGUAUUAGCUAGUUGGUGAGGUAACGGCUCACCAAGGCGACGAUACAUAGCCGACCUGAGAGGGUGAUCGGCCACACUGGGACUGAGACACGGCCCAGACUCCUACGGGAGGCAGAAGUAGGGAAUCUUCGGCAAUGGACGGAAGUCUGACAGAGCAACGCCGCGUGAGUGAAGAAGGUUUUCGGAUCGUAAAGAUCUGUUGUAAGAGAAGAACGAGUGUGAGAGUGGAAAGUUCACACUGUGACGGUAUCUUAACAGAAAGGGACGGCUAACUACGUG
rnacentral:rRNA from 1 species